GUGCUGAUUUUGAGGAAAGAAAAGAACAAUUUCUCAAAUACGAAUUUUUUUGAUUUUUUCUGACUUCCCUCUGCAAAAACCAGCAUAAAUCAUUCUCUAGAAGUUUAAUUGAAGAUCCAAAGGAGUUCCUAUAAAAGAUUGAAGAUAGGAUUGAAGAUGGAAGACUAAAAGCGACGAUUGGAGGAAGAACAAGCUGUUAUAUCUUCAACAAGAUGAUGAUUAGGGUUUCUUUUGAUUUGUCUUCUUCUAGAGUCACGAGUAGCUAAGUUUUUGAGUUUCUUGGUUGAGAUGUAGGAUUUGAGCCAUGAUACCUGUCUUCAACGUUUAGAAACGACGAUUGUGGAUAAUUGGAUUUUAAUGAAGGUUUGCUUUGAUUA
rnacentral:lncRNA from 1 species